UCAGAAUAUAAAUCAAAUAUAUUUUCAGUUUCUUUAGUACUAAAACCAAAAACUUGAAUUGAUUUGUACAUAAGAUCUUGUUGUAUGUAAGUUCAAAAAGUACUGCUUACAAGCAUCUUAGGUGAACAACCGACAUAGUUUAUAUAGACAAGGAAACGAGUAGUCAUAUUAAUGUACAAGCAGUUUUUAAUUCUGAAACUUGUUUGAAGGAAUCGAGUUUCCCUUUGCUUUAUGCUCUUCUUAGUAUUUAUUUUUCUCUUCCUUCAUAACUUGAACAACAUUAUAGAAGUUGAAUACAUGAUUGUUCCUUUGGGCACCUUUACUGAAGCUGCAUUUUAAUUUAUUGUUCAGUAAACAAUGUAGCCGAUCCCAACUACAUUUGAAUUAAGCCUUAGUUGUUGUUGUUGAGUUAUUGUUCAGUAAAUAAUAUAUAUGUUUUUCCAUCCUAUAUCAUGUUCAGAAAUUUUUGACAAAAACUUUACAGG
rnacentral:misc_RNA from 1 species